GGGAUGUGACGCUGUGGAUAGGGCGAGGAAAAGGAAGGAGGGUAGAAGUGACUAUUGAUACUAGGUGAAUGGAGAUCAGCACUCCUCAAAGCCACCAAAUAAUUGGCAAAUGGGUGAAGCAUGAACAGUUUUUUUCAAUGAGCUGAUGAAAGAUACCAGAUUGACAGCAACUAAGGAGUAAAAGCCCUUAGCUAUCCCCAUCACAGGUAGUGGUAGUAUAAGCUUCGCCACAGUGUCCCAGCACACUUAUUAACUAUGAACUAAAGGGAUCAUCUGUAGGGGGUUAGCAGGGCGAUGACCCUUUUUAUUCUCUAAGACAAAUGAGUACUUGGCUUCUGUUGAGACUGCUAAAAAGGGUGCCAAAUGAAACAAUGUGUUUGUGUUGUGGACACUGCUCCAAUAGAAACUAGACUGAGAGAACCAUCUUAUUUACCUAGGUCAAAAAGCCUACAACUUUCAGUCAUUACCAACCUGGUCUCAAUUAUAGGCACAGCUCCAUAACCCAUUACUAAUGUUGUAGAUGUGUAGUAGAGAAGUAACUGAGUCUACGAUUUCCAUAUUUAAAAUAUGUAACAGGAAAUCUCUGGGAAGAUUCCGUCCAUGUUUCUAAUCGAGACAUAACCCAAGAAGAAGAAGCCCUUCCUAAACUGUCUGUCCCAAGUUAUAUAUUGGGCCCACUGCAUGCUGAGACAGGACUUUAGAAAUUAACUUGUGUGAAUAUAAACAAGUUAAAGA